AUGCUGUCAUUAUCAGUGUUGCUGCUGCUUUCAGCUGCAUUCUGUGGUGUUGGAGGUGUGGAGCUCACUCAGACAGACUCUGUGCUGGUGAAGCCUGGAGAGUCGUUCUCCAUCUCUUGCAAGAUCUCGGUGUCGAGUUAUUGUAUUCACUGGAUACGGCAACCUGCUGGAAAAGCACUGGAAUGGCUCGGAUAUCUGUGUGAUGGUGAUAGCACUAAUCUCAAAGACACGAUGAAGAGCAAGCUCAGUCUCAGCCAGGACAAAUCCAGCAGCACAGUUUAUUUAAAAGGACAAAACUUUCAGGUCGAGGACACGGCUGUGUAUUACUGUGCCAAAGACACACAACACUACAAACUCAUUGAAGCCCUAUGUCAGUCUUUUUAA